GGGUGAUCGGCCACAUUGGGACUGAGAUACGGCCCAGACUCCUACGGGAGGCAGCAGUAGGGAAUUUUGCGCAAUGGACGAAAGUCUGACGCAGCGACGCCGCGUGAGCGAUGAAGGUCUUCGGAUUGUAAAGCUCUGUUGGGUGGGAAGAAAACCCUUUGGGAGAAUAUCCCUGAGGCUUGACGGUACCACUCGAGGAAGCCCCGGCUAACUACGUGCCAGCAGCCGCGGUAAUACGUAGGGGGCAAGCGUUGUUCGGAAUCACUGGGCGUAAAGGGAGUGUAGGCGGGGAGGUAAGUUAGAAGUUAAAUACACAGGCUCAACUUGUGGUCUGCUUUUAAUACUGCCUUUCUUGAGUAUGGGAGAGGGUGAUGGAAUUCCAGGUGUAGCGGUGGAAUGCGUAGAUAUCUGGAAGAACACCAGUUGCGAAGGCGGUCACCUGGCCCAAUACUGACGCUGAGGCUCGAAAGCUAGGGGAGCGAACAGGAUUAGAUACCCUGGUAGUCCUAGCCGUAAACGAUGGAUACUAGUUGCUGGAGGAGUCAAUACUUUCAGUGACGAAGCUAACGCAUUAAGUAUCCCGCCUGGGGAGUACGCUCGCAAGGGUGAAACUCAAAGGAAUUGACGGGGGCCCGCACAAGCGGUGGAGCAUGUGCUUCAAUUCGAUGCAACGCGAAGAACCUUACCUGGGUUUGACAUGGGAGUGAAAGCCACCAGAGAUGGAGGCCCUUCCGCAAGGAACAUUCCACACAGGUGCUGCAUGGUUGUCGUCAGCUCGUGUCGUGAGAUGUUGGGUUAAGUCCCGCAACGAGCGCAACCCCUACCCUUAGUUGCCAUCAGGUAAGGCUGGGAACUCUAAGGGGACUGCCUGUCAUAAACAGGAGGAAGGUGGGGAUGACGUCAAAUCAUCAUGGCCCUUACAUCCAGGGCUAGACACGUGCUACAAUGGCUGGUACAGAGGGAUGCGAACCUGCGAGGGUAAGCUAAUCCCUGAAAACCAGUCUCAGUCCGGAUUGGAGUCUGCAACUCGACUCCAUGAAGUUGGAAUCGCUAGUAAUCGCGGAUCAGCAUGCCGCGGUGAAUACGUUCCCGGGCCUUGUACACACCGCCCGUCAAGCCAUGAAAGACGGUAGUGCCCGAAGUCGUGCGCCCAACCGCAAGGGGGGCAGCGCCUAAGGUAAGACCGUUGAUUGGGGCUAAGUCGUAACAAGGUA
rnacentral:rRNA from 1 species